rnacentral:rRNA from 1 species
CCCUUAGAUGUUCUGGGCCGCACGCGCGCUACACUGAUACGUUCAGCGAGUAUAUAACCUUGAUUGGAAAAUCUGGGUAAUCUUUUGAAUGCGUAUCGUGCUAGGGAUAGAUUAUUGCAAUUAUUAAUCUUGAACGAGGAAUUCCUAGUAAACGCAAGUCAUCAGCUUGCAUUGAUUACGUCCCUGCCCUUUGUACACACCGCCUGUCGCACAAACCGAUUGAAUGAUUCGGUGAAAAUUUUGGACAUCGAGAGUGGUGAUUAAUUUCGCUGCUCCUAAAUGGAAAGAAUUUAAACCUAAUUAUUUAGAGGAUUGUGAAGUCAUAACA